GGAGAUGGUUCUCUUUGGCCCCUAGCUGCUUUGGCCUGCUCCUCUGGGUUCCUACACAGCAUCCCUCCUCACACUGAGGCUCUCCAGCACACACCAUCAUGUAUCCGAGAGCAACAACUUCCUGGCCUGGACAGGAAUCCAAGAUCUCCAGGAGAAACAUACCAUCCUCCACCAAACACCUUCGGGCGAAAGAACAAGCUGAAGAACUGCCUAUCCAGGGCUCCCUCCUGCCCCCCACGAACAACAGAGCCUUCAGCUUGCACAGGAGCAGAGUGCCUAAACCUUGCACGAGGAGCAUGCCACAGAAGUGGGAUUAACCCUAGCAAUUUUAGUGGCACUGGUGAUAACGGGGAUGCUUUUGGACUGCAGCGCCAGGGACUGUGGCUGCGAUGGACACGAGUGCUUGCGGAGUGGCCUGAAGAAGGCAGAGACAAAGGGGAGGCCCCUCUGGGUGAGCAUGUGCCUCUGGAGUACCUCACCAGAUUGCUGAGGGAGUGUGCCAGCAUUCAUUGCAAGAAGCUGCCCCAGCUCUCUUGCACCCAGAAGUCAAGGACACAGGCAGCAGUGGGGAGCAGCAGCAGAAGACACUAGCCCCACAAGGACCAGCCAGACUGCACCACUGCCAAUAACUGCACACCUUCUGAGCAGGCCCAGUCCUGUAACCCACCAUCAGCUGGCACCCUCUUCAAGCUGCCUCUCAGGUGGGUGAACAAUUCAGGCAUUUGGUGGCACCUGUGCCAAGGACACAGAGCCUCCCCCUCCACUGCCACAAAGGCUGCCUGAGGACACGACGGAAGUUCUCCCCAGACAUGUUUACGAGGCAGCUCACCACUGAAUUUCCUCUUGACUCCUGGGCUGAGCUCCCUCUGAAGGGGACAGAAACCUCAGCUGCUCAAGGGCAAAAUAAGACCCUUAGGAAGGCAAGGUCACUGAGCAUUUCAACUGCCUGCUGGUGAGUAGGCUCUUCUCUCUGCACCUGUAAAUCCUUCUCCAUUAACAGGAGAAAAAAAAAACCACAAGCUCUGUGAGAAGAGCUGGUAUGAAGACCUGCUCCUAAAUCACUGCAUGGGCAAUGGGUCACGUUUCACCCACCAGGUACCUGUUACAGCAGGUGCCCGCAGUGCGUGGCAGCCAUUAAAGCGAGGUG
rnacentral:lncRNA from 1 species